rnacentral:lncRNA from 1 species
GUGGAGACCCGGACUGGCGCCGGCGCCAGCUGGAGGGAGACGCCCCCGGGCAAGAGCUUACGAUUCUUCAUCAACUCGUAAAAUGAGAUCGCCGCGGAGCUCGAGCCUAUUUGGCGUCUCCGGAGACUAGCAAGACCCUCUGAAAGACACCGCGUCCCCAGGGAUAAUCCCCCGUGUCCGGCAAAGCUGCCCCGCUCGAGCGCGAACCCUGGGACCCAGCGCGGGAGGCAGACCAGCAGCUGGCCGCUGGGCUGUGAACGCCAGGACCGAGCGGAAGCUUCCCGCCCGGCCGCGAUCGGUGCCGCGGCUCUCAGGGAAGUGGCUACGCGCGUCCCUCGGGAAAGCAGUGGACAGAUGAUUUGAACAGCCACUUCAUAAAAGAAGAUGUAUGAAUGCCCAGUAAGAACAUGACAAGAUACUCAACAUCACUUGUCUUUAAGGAACUGCAAAUUAAAGGCACUAUAUACUCACAAAAAAUGGCUAAAGUUAAAAAGACUGACAAUAACAAGCGUUGAAGACCAUGUGGAGCAACUGUAACUUUCAUACACUGUGGGAAUGCAAACUGGUAUAGCUACUUUGGAAAACAGUAUGGCAGUGUUUUAUAAUAUUAACCAUAAUUUAUCAUGUUACUCAGCAAAUCCACUCCUAGCCAUAG